CCUACGGGUGGCUGCAGUGAGGAAUAUUGGUCAAUGGGCGAGAGCCUGAACCAGCCAAGUCGCGUGAGGGAGUACUGCCCUAUGGGUUGUAAACCUCUUUUGUCGAGGAGCAAAAGCCGGACGUGGCCGGCUGUGAGAGGACCCGAAGAAAAAGCAACGGCUAACUCCGUGCCAGCAGCCGCGGUAAUACGGAGGAUGCGAGCGUUAUCCGGAUUUAUUGGGUUUAAAGGGUGCGCAGGCGGAUUUGUAAGUCAGCGGUCAAAUCGUGGGGCUCAACCCCCUCCAGCCGUUGAAACUGGGGAUCUAGAGUGUGCGAGAGGUCUGCGGAAUGCGUGGUGUAGCGGUGACAUGCAUCGCUCUCACGCAGAACCCCGAUUGCGAAGGCAGCAUACCGGUGCACAACUGCCGCUCAGGCACGAAAGCGUGGGUAUCGAACAGGAUUAGAUACCCCAGUAGUC
rnacentral:rRNA from 1 species